GAGGGUAUAACUCAGUGGUAGAGUGCAUGGCUAGCAUGUACAAGGUCCUGGAUUCAAUCUCCUGUACCUUCA
rfam:Camelus ferus unplaced genomic scaffold scaffold165, whole genome shotgun sequence.